UAGCUGUUAUAGUUCCGGAGAUUUCGUGAUGAGUAAGUCAAUCUACCAUCCCCCGUUUUAACCCCAAAAGGGAGUUGCUUUCUAACGAUACAUUAUUUAGAUACCUUUUCAUCAUCUAUAAGGCAUACAUUUUAAAUUUCAAGUCUCUUACUUUAAAAACAUGGGACUUUCACACAAACUUCCAACCCCCGUUUUACCCCCUUAGGGGUCGAAUUUCAUAAAAUUCGUUCUUAUCCAAUGUCUACGCCCUAUAAGGAGCCUUUCUGCCAAAUUUCAAGUUUGUAGGUGUUAUAGUUUCGGAGAUUUUGUGAUGAGUGAGUGACCUUUCGCU
rnacentral:misc_RNA from 1 species